rnacentral:rRNA from 1 species
AAGUUCCGACCCGCACGAAAGGCGUAACGAUUUGGGCACUGUCUCAACGAGAGACUCGGUGAAAUCAUAGUACCUGUGAAGAUGCAGGUUACCCGCGACAGGACGGAAAGACCCCGUGGAGCUUUACUGUAGCCUGAUAUUGAAAUUCGGCACAGCUUGUACAGGAUAGGUAGGAGCCUUUGAAACGUGAGCGCUAGCUUACGUGGAGGCGCUGGUGGGAUACUACCCUAGCUGUGUUGGCUUUCUAACCCGCACCACUUAUCGUGGUGGGAGACAGUGUCAGGCGGGCAGUUUGACUGGGGCGGGCGCCUCCUAAAAGGUAACGGAGGCGCUCAAAGGUUCCCUCAGAAUGGUUGGAAA